rnacentral:lncRNA from 1 species
UACAUCCUGUGUUUGUUUCUUUUAUUUUCUCGGUUUUCUUUUCUUGAAUUUUUACCGACUGCCCUUUUUUUGUGCUUUUUCUUUUGAAUCUUCGAGUGUUCGAUUUUUAUUUUUCUUUCUUUUUCUCGAUUCAUCAAUUUUUCUUUUUCUUUGGUUUUUUGCACUUUCUAGGGCUUUGAGAGCUUUUAGGGUUUUUACCCCAAACUUAGCUUUUCAACACAGCUGGAAUAUAGGCUCAAAGGGGGUUAAAGAGGGAUAUAAUAAUUCGGGAUGGCUAGAAAGGCUCGGGGUUAAUUACAAACAACGUGCCUCAGUGUGUGUAUGAUGCAGUGACAGUCCCAGAGAGUCUACGCAAAUUCAGAGUGAUAAAGACAAACCUG